CCUACGGGGGGCAGCAGUGAGGAAUAUUGGUCAAUGGGCGAGAGCCUGAACCAGCCAAGUCGCGUGAAGGAAGACUGCCCUAUGGGUUGUAAACUUCUUUUGUAAGGGAAUAAAAAGAGUUACGUGUAACUUAUUGUAUGUACUUUACGAAUAAGGAUCGGCUAACUCCGUGCCAGCAGCCGCGGUAAUACGGAGGAUCCAAGCGUUAUCCGGAUUUAUUGGGUUUAAAGGGUGCGUAGGCGGAAUAUUAAGUCAGUGGUGAAAGUUUGCAGCUC
rnacentral:rRNA from 1 species